CCAGGACAUACCUCCUCGAUGGGUCCUGUAUGGUGGAAGAGUCGGGGACCCUCGAAUCCCAGCUUGAAGCUACCAAAGUCUCAGGCCAGGCCUGGAGCAG
rnacentral:sRNA from 1 species